rnacentral:rRNA from 1 species
UGGCGGACGGGUGAGUAAUGUCUGGGAAACUGCCUGAUGGAGGGGGAUAACUACUGGAAACGGUAGCUAAUACCGCAUAACGUCGCAAGACCAAAGAGGGGGACCUUAGGGCCUCUUGCCAUCGGAUGAACCCAUAUGGGAUUAGCUAGUAGGUAAGGUAACGGCUUACCUAGGCGACGAUCCCUAGCUGGUCUGAGAGGAUGAUCAGCCACACUGGAACUGAGACACGGUCCAG